CUCUGCUGUCUGUGGGAGGUUGGAGAACAGAUCUGUUUUUCUCUUUUUCUCUACACACUUUAGGGGCCUGAGCACCAGACUGGGAUGUUGGUUGUUGCCUGAGGGAUGGACUGAUGACAGCAUUGUUCAACCAAGGCCUGAAGAGGAAGAAAAGAUCUCUGCCCUCACUCAGCUCACCUAAAAUACUAUCUGAAGGUUCCAGUUCAAGCCACUAGCUUCUGCUCAAAUUGUUUCUGCAACCUCAAAUGCUACUGCAACUUUAGAUACAACCAUCGAGGCUCAGAGACUGUGAAGCAGCUUCCCUCAUAGUGUUAUGUCAGCAGAAUGGGCUGCGGUCCAGAUGACCUACAUCCAAAUGAUGCCAAACCAGGAUCUGAUUAAGUCAGAAUCAAGACCAAAUGGACGUGGAAGGAUUUACACAUUACUUCCUUACACUCAAUGUCAUCUUCCUUCUGCUGACAAAUCUAUCAAGAGCUGGUCUAAAGGUGUUAAUGCUGCUAUUUCUUGGAGUUAAGUUUAUCAACUACAGCUUCUGUCUUUAUCUGCCUGUUCCAAUGCUUUUGCUGUCUUUUUGUUUCUUUCUGUAGAACUAAGCUAUCAGUUUUCUCGACAGCUUUUGUUUGGACACAGGGAUAGAAACCCUUUUCACGCUCAGAAAUCAGCACUGUGCCUAAUAGUUUCCAGAAUCUGGCAACAGAAAUGUUUAACUUUCAAACAAAGUAGCCAAGACUGAACCUCUGUAUUUGAAUCAAAAAUUCAGACAAUAACCAAGACAAUCAGUCAAUAGAUUAAUAUUCACUUUAUCGAGAAACCUGAGAGAACAUGUAACUACAUCAAUUCACUGAGUGCGUCAUUCCUAGAUGACUCAUAAUAACCUGAGCUAUAUAAGGUUCAUAAGACUAACCACUGCAGUACUGAGUAAGGGUUUUGUGAUCACCUCCAUGGUCUAGUGUAAAUCAACAGAGAUGCUUAGUCAGUCAGCCACAUACUUACAAGUCACUGAUAACUACACCCAAGCCUUCAUUUAUAAAGCUUAAUGAUGUGAUCCAAAGUAGAUAUAUUGGAAAAAUUGUGACAUUACACAGUGAAUUUGGCCCCACAACAGCAGGAAAACAAAAAUGUAAAAACUUGGGUAGAGGAAGUUAAACAUAUUCAUCUGACCUGAACAAAUACAAGAUAAAAAAGAAGAAAAUAAUGGGUCCUGCUUUUGAUAGUAGAAGAGAAAUGGUUCAACUUUAAAGUCAAAUAAAACAGUGGGUGUCUUUUGAUUUUUUCCAAAAAAUAUCUUUUGUUUUGGGAUGAACUUGUUUAAAUGAAGUUGGUUGUGGGUUUGUGUUCUAUACGACUCAACAUGUUCUGAUUCCCAACAGCGUCAUGUAUAAAUCUGUUUAAGUUGUAGUCCACCCUGUUUAUGAUUCUCUGUUGGUAAUACAAUCACCUAACAAGUUUUGCCUUCUUACAUAUUACUGAUCUCACAUCGUUAUCGUCUUUGUCAUUCUCGUCGUCACCCUUUUCCUCAUUAUCAACCACAACAUACUCAUCAUAACAACAUUCACUAAGAGUCACAUCAUCGGCCAACUCAUCUUAUUCAUUAUCCCUAAUACCGACUGCAUUCGUGCCAUUCCAUGGAACAUUAUCUUUGAAUAAUUACCAUGUGUACAGCAGAUGGAGAACAACACGAGUGGGUUGUGUGUUUGCAUGUGUGCUCUGUUCCUGUGGGUGUGGCAUUAUAGGCAUAUGCGAGCAUGUGCAAGUGUACAUUGUGUGUAUGUGCAUGCAUACAUGAUCAAGUAUAACUGCUAGUUCACAUAAUCACUCCAGGCUGAAGAUGUCAUAAUAUACGCUGUGUUUGUCAACAUGUUGCUCAUUAAUUAAGAUCUAAGGCAGAUAAUUCCCUGAGGAUAUGGUUUUAUAAUUCCUCUGUAGGAUGAAAACCAUCACUAUAGCACAACAAAACAAAGACUGAUGUCUGGAUCCUUUACAACUUGGGCCAAAGCCAUCUUGUUUUGUUGAUUGUUUUGUUUGUUUAUGCAGUUUUGAACAUCUUGUAUUCAUUCAUUCAUUCCUUUACCCAUUCAUCUGUUUACAUUAAGACUGAUUAAUUGCCUCAUUCUUUCAUUUACCUAUUGCAUUUCUUUGCAUGUAAAGUUGUCUUGUAUUCAUUUGCUCAUUUAUUUAUUCACUAAUUGUUCUGCUGAUACCCCAUCCAUACAUUUAGCAUAUACACCA